GUAGGUUGCAAGCGUUGUCCGGAUUUACUGGGUGUAAAGGGCGUGUAGGCGGAGAUGCAAGUUGGGAGUGAAAUCCAUGGGCUCAACCCAUGAACUGCUCUCAAAACUGUAUCCCUUGAGUAUCGGAGAGGCAAGCGGAAUUCCUAGUGUAGCGGUGAAAUGCGUAGAUAUUAGGAGGAACACCAGUGGCGAAGGCGGAUUGCUGGACGACAACUGACGGUGAGGCGCGAAAGCGUGGGGAGCAAACAGGAUUAGAUACCCUGGUAGUCCACGCUGUAAACGAUGAAUACUAGGUGUGCGGGGACUGACCCCCUGCGUGCCGCAGCUAACGCAAUAAGUAUUCCACCUGGGGAGU
rnacentral:rRNA from 1 species